rnacentral:rRNA from 1 species
ACGAACGCUGGCGGCAUGCCUAAUACAUGCAAGUCGAACGAGAUCUUCGGAUCUAGUGGCGCACGGGUGCGUAACGCGUGGGAAUCUACCCUUGGGUUCGGAAUAACUUCGGGAAACUGAAGCUAAUACCGGAUGAUGUCGAAAGACCAAAGAUUUAUCGCCCAGGGAUGAGCCCGCGUAGGAUUAGCUAGUUGGUGGGGUAAAGGCUCACCAAGGCAACGAUCCUUAGCUGGUCUGAGAGGAUGAUCAGCCACACUGGGACUGAGACACGGUCCAGACUCCUACGGGAGGCAGCAGUGAGGAAUAUUGGACAAUGGAGGAAACUCUGAGCCAGCAAUGCCGCGUGAGUGAUGAAGGCCUUCGGGUUGGAAAGCUCUUUCGGGUGUGAAAAUGAUGAUGGUAACACCAGAAGAAGCCCCGGCUAACUCCGU